rnacentral:lncRNA from 1 species
GUGGAUUACAAAUUUAAUUUGUCAACAUCUGGAAAGAUGCGAAGGGCGUACAGACAAAACGUUUCAAACAUCCGCUAUUUGUCACGAACAUACACGCAUAAGCAGCUACGAAUGCGGCUGCCCAGCUCAUCUGAGCAUUCAUAUGAAACAGUGCAGUUUACUCUUCCAGAAGCAUAUAAUUAAUAUCCGAACAUUGAAAGCCAUUGUCAAAACUUAUAGCCUGUAUAUUGCCCUUUGCGGACCCUUGCAACCGCAAUUCGUAGGUAACCCCUCCGCUUCGAACAGGGUAGGUUCAUAAUAAGUCAGGCAUGCCCACCUUACACUACAGUGACAUACAUAGACGAUUGGCAAGGCAAACCUAGGCCCUCCGAUUCACCCAUCCUAAAGCCCAUCCGCAGGCGAUCCCGCCAAUAAUGUCAAAUGUUAUGAUGGGUGUGAAGCCCAAUAGUGCUGUUUGGGGGUCUGUGGAUCGAAGCUCUAGGCGCGCGGUUAGCCUGCCUCCCGACCUAGGUGUGCAUUGUUCGUUGAUGACGGGGAACCAGGAUAAGCUGAUCCGAAUAAAAAAAACAGAAGGCGUUUUGUUGGAUUCCUCUUUUCCAGGCAACCCACUCGUUGACGGAUAUCCAUUGUGAUUGAGGGGGAGACAAAUUACUGCUGGACAGUGUGGUCAUUAUGUCUCAAGAUGUAAAUGCCAAUGCCAAUACUGAGCUACUAGCGGGCUAUAACGGUCAAGCCAACAAGCUCCAGCACAACGUAAGGACGUGUUCACAUGUGGGCGAAUCAGGGUUGAUUCAUGCGAAUUGGACUCUGAAUUGGACCUGAUUGGACCCGAAUCU